AGUGGGUCGGACAACCGCGCAGCAAUGUGAGGAAAGUCCGGGCUUCAAAAGGCAAGAUGCCAGCUAACGGCUGGGCGGGGUGACCCGACGGAUAGUGCCACAGAAAAGAAAACUCCCCUCUUGUAGGAGAAAAGCUGAAACGGUGCGGUAAGAGCGCACCAGUGCGUUGGCAACAACGUAGCUUGGUAAACCCCAUCUGAAGCAAGCGUAAAUAGGAGCGCCAUACGGCUGCCUUUCCGUGCGUUCGGGUUACGUGCUAGAGUUUCGCGGCGACGCGGAAUCGAGAUAAAUGGUUGUCGAUUACAGAACCCGGCUUAUAGACCCACUCAU
rnacentral:RNase_P_RNA from 1 species